UUCAAGUUGAGCAAAGCCCAGUCUAAACCUUUGUCAUCCAAAACUAUGCUAAGGUGUAGGCCACCUCCAUUGCUCUCCCUAAUGAUAAUAUCAUCUCCUUCUCAUCCCUUAAACCCUGCUGCUCGCCUCAGAUUUGUCUUUGUUUCCAAAUCACCCUCUCAAAUCCCUAAUUCCUCUUACCAUCGCCCUCCUCUUUUUUCUAAGAUUUAUCUUUUUAAUUUCCCUCAAAACAUGACAUUCCCCAAGUGCUUCUUUGCUUCUGGGUAUGCUCCUGCUGAUCCCGUUCCCAUUUCCGGAACUACUGAAUUCAAUGACCCAAACCCUCAAUCAACUCUGGUGGUGGUAUCAUUCUAUAAAUUCGCUGAUUUUCCUGACUAUGCGAAUCUGCGAAAGCCAUUGAAAGAGCUCUGCGAGGAACUGCGUGUUUCAGGCGGUAUCAUUCUUGCACCUGAGGGAAUCAAUGGAAGUAUAUGUGGGACCAGGGAGUCAGUGGAAAGAGUUCUUGAAUUCAUCGAGAGUGAUGAUCGACUAAAGGGGCUAAGACAGGUGGAGUCACCUGUAAGUCCUGAGGAGGAAGCUAUCCAUCAUGGACACAGUAGUAGUUCUCCUCUGGCAGCAGGGGAGGAUGCACCGUUUCGAUGGGAUCAUGUUAGGGUUAAGUUGAAAAAAGAGCAGAUUGUUACUCUUGGAAUGCCUUCCGUGUCACCUAUUGAAAGAGUUGGGAAAUAUGUGAAUCCAAAGGAGUGGAAUGCAUUGAUUGAUGAUCCAGAUACUGUGGUGAUUGAUGUGCGAAAUAAUUAUGAAACUAGAAUUGGGAAGUUCAAAGCAGCAGUUGAUCCUUGUACCACAUCAUUUCGGGAAUUCCCUUCUUGGGUGGAAAAUAAGUUGCAAGUUGCAGACACAAAUGAGGUGAACGUAAAUCUUAUGGACGGAAACAAUGAUAGUGAAACAGAGAGCUCAACACCAAAAAUGCCGCAACGUGUUGCUAUGUACUGUACUGGAGGAAUUCGAUGUGAGAAAGCUUCAAGUUUUCUCCUCAGUAAAGGUUUCAAAGAGGUUUAUCACUUGGAAGGUGGAAUUCUAAGGUACCUCGAGGAAGUUCCAAAGUCAGAGAGCCGGUGGGUUGGUGAGUGUUUUGUUUUUGACAAGCGAGUCUCAGUCGAGCAUGGUUUGGCACAGGGAACUUUUAAGCUGUGCUAUGGAUGUAAGCAACCAGUGAGCGAUGCUGACAUGGAAGCCCCAGAAUGGGAGUAUGGAGUUUCUUGUCCAUACUGUUAUUCAUUAAAAUCUGAUGAAGAAAAAGAAAGGGCAAGAGCUCGACAGAGGCAGUUUGAGACUUGGGGAAUUAUUGGCGGUCCUGACAAGGGUCGCCGACCAACAUCUAAAUUAGAUAGUAGUACAAGGUACUCUAGCCAGCUUUCAAGCUCAAUUUAACCAGUUUUCUAGAUGAUGUACACAGGAUAAAUUAUUUUGUGGGAAUAUGCGCUCAAAGAACUCGACCUUGUUUUUUUACCUUUCGCCUUUUCUUCAAGCUGACCCUUCCCUUUUGCUACUAGUUGAUAUUGUCAAUGUCACGUUUCUGGGUAGAGAAUUUCAGAAUGACUAUUUGUGCGGCUUAAGGCCAGUAGUGAUUCAGUUUUCAGUGAUUUGGAGUUCUUAACUUUUUCUCUAAACAUGUGUUUGAAAUUUAUUUAUUUG
rnacentral:misc_RNA from 1 species